rnacentral:rRNA from 1 species
GACGAACGCUGGCGGCGUGCUUAACACAUGCAAGUCGAACGGAAAGGCCCUGCUUUUGUGGGGUGCUCGAGUGGCGAACGGGUGAGUAACACGUGAGUAACCUGCCCUUGACUUUGGGAUAACUUCAGGAAACUGGGGCUAAUACCGGAUAGGAGCUCCUGCUGCAGGGUGGGGGUUGGAAAGUUUCGGCGGUUGGGGAUGGACUCGCGGCUUAUCAGCUUGUUGGUGGGGUAGUGGCUUACCAAGGCUUUGACGGGUAGCCGGCCUGAGAGGGUGACCGGCCACAUUGGGACUGAGAUACGGCCCAGACUCCUACGGGAGGCAGCAGUGGGGAAUAUUGCACAAUGGGCGGAAGCCUGAUGCAGCAACGCCGCGUGCGGGACGACGGCCUUCGGGUUGUAAACCGCUUUCGCCUGUGACGAAGCGUGAGUGACGGUAAUGGGUAAAGAAGCACCGGCUAACUACGUG